CCGCGGUAAUAUUGGUCAAUGGGCGCGAGCCUGAACCAGCCAAGUCGCGUGAGGGAAGACGGUCCUAUGGAUUGUAAACCUCUUUUGUCGGGGAGCAAAAGACGCCACGCGUAGCGUUCCGAGAGUACCCGAAGAAAAAGCAUCGGCUAACUACGUGCCAGCAGCCGCGGUAAUCAGCAG
rnacentral:rRNA from 1 species